rnacentral:rRNA from 1 species
AAUCUUGCGCAAUGGGCGAAAGCGAGACGCAGCAACGCCGCGUGGGGGAUGAAGGCUCUCGGGUUGUAAACCCCUUUCAGCAGGGACGAAAUUGACGGUACCUGCAGAAGAAGCCCCGGCCAAUUACGUACCAGCAGCCGCGGUGACACGUAGGGGGCGAGCGUUGUCUGGAAUUAUUGGGCGUAAAGAGCUCGUAGGCGGUUUAGUAAGUCAGAUGUGAAAGGUUGGGGCUCAACCCUAAGAUAGCAUCCGAUACUAUUAUGAAAGAGUCCGGUAGAGGAAAGUGGAAUUCCUGGUGUAGCGGUGAAAUGCGCAGAUAUCAGGAGGAACACCGACGGCGAAGGCAGCACUCCGGGCCGGUACUGACGAUCAGGCGCGAAAGCGUGGGUACCAAACAGGAUUAGAUACCCUGGUAGUCCACGCCGUA